UCAUUUAGGUUUAUUUUAUCUGGUUAAUGGAUUAUGCAGUUCCUUUGCUUCUUUACCACUUAUCUUUUGAGUUUUUGUCAAAGAUUUUAUCCCAAAAACCAGUCUGAAGAAGGAGGAAGACAACGCUUU
rfam:Dasypus novemcinctus cont2.321979, whole genome shotgun sequence.